AGCAAAGUUGCAGGAUACAAAAUCAACAUUAUACUACUCAAUCACUACAUCGGUGAUACAGUAACCCAGAGCGACAUGAUGUAGGGAACACAGGUCCUGAGCCACAGAGACAAGGACCUAAUCACAGGAACCUUCUCUUGACCCCCAGAUUAUCUGAUCCCUUGGAAAGACCAGUGCACCCACACCUUUUCUUCCCUCCCACCUUCCUGCCCUUUCUCUCCCAUAAGUAGGAAUCUUUGCUCCUUUUCUCUUUAGAAGACAGUUUCUAGUUCCCCAGUGCUCAGAGAAUAUCACUGACACACAUCUCUUGACAUCCUGGCCACUUUUGGGGAACAUACGGUUUCAAGAUGUUUCCUUUUUCAUUUGUGCUUCAUGGCUCAGGUGCCUUCCUCCCUGGAACUCUGCUGCCAGAGGUUCAAGUGAUGACAGCCAAGAAGCAGGCCAGUAUAUUCAAGAACAGCAGACAACUGAAUUGGCUGUCUCCUCACUCACUCUCUGACUGACUGGCCUGGGCCGUGCUUAAGUACAGUACACCAGUAGGGCCAUUAUGACGACCAGUGUGCUGAGUAUUGGGGGAAAAAAAUGCAAAAUUGGAAACUCAGCUGUACUCGGGAGAGAGAUCCUGUACAUGAUGCUGACGGAAAAACAUGCAAAUAGAAGCAAAGGAAAAAAAUAAGCAUCCCGGCAACAGAUCAAAUGGGACUGAAGCAACUCAGGAAAGGAUAUAUGUGAUGAGUUUAGAAGCCAAAUGAAAAAUGGUCGACUUAUCUGCACCUGAGAAAGUGACUCUGUCCAUGGUCCAGACUGCAGGACAUGUGGCAGGAAAGAGAAGCAGCCGAAAGAAAAAAGAAAGACAAGGAGAACACGGGAAGCACAGGAGAGAAGAACAACGAAAAGCAGGUUUUGACGGGUGCGUGUUUGACAGGAUCAGUGCCAUGAAUUCCGGGACAUGGUGAGAAACUGAAAGCUGGUGUGCACUGCAGACUAUGAUCCUGUUCGAGGUCCAUAUGACAAGAUGCACCCCAACAAGUGUGCCACGUGUCAGAGCAUGUUUGAGCGAGAAGUUAACGAAAGAAAAAAGAAUGAAGAAACAUCAAGUGCCAAGCCCUCAAACUAUGCAAAGGUUAUUUCUUAGAAGCUACGAAGAUAACUGUUUUACUGCUCAUCCUCAGAAUCUUGAAUGCUACUCCAGUUUUAGGAUAAUAAAGAUGCUAAUCUUUUGCUUCAAAGAAAA